rnacentral:rRNA from 1 species
AUUGAACGCUGGCGGCGGGCCUAACACAUGCAAGUCGAACGAGUGGCGGACGGGUGAGUAAUGUAUGUGAAACUGCCUGAUGGAGGGGGAUAACUACUGGAAACGGUAGCUAAUAACGCAUACCCACAGAUGUGCCCAGUUGGGCUUAGCUUGUUGGUGGGGUAACGGCUCACCAGGGGGACGAUCCCUAGCUGGUCUGAGCGGAUGACCAGCCACACGGGAACUGAAACACGGUCCAUACUCCUACGGGAGGCAGCAGUGGGGAAUAUGGGACAAUGGGCGCAAGCCUGAUGCAGCCAUGCAGCGUGUAUGAAGAAGGCCUUCGGGUUGUAAAGUACGUUUAGCGGGGAGGCGUUACUCGCAGAAGAAGCACCGGCUAACUCCGUGCCAGCAGCCGCGGUAAUAC